rnacentral:tRNA from 8 species
CGGAGUGUAGCUCAGCCUGGUAGAGCACUGCUUUCGGGAGGCAGGGGCCGGAGGUUCGAAUCCUCUCACUCCGACCA